CCGGAACAUAUAAACAUAUGUGACAUAUAGUGUAACCAGUUUUAUUUUUAUUUAAAGUGAAACGCUUCUCUUGUUUAACAUACGUCUAGUUUAACAGAUUUUAUUUGUUAAAAUUUGAAUUGAAUAUGCAUGAAUAUUGAGUUCAGUCACCAGAUCUACAUUUCUUAUUUAUCUUUUUCAGCGUGGCGCGUGAUUAUGUGAGGCUUCUCAAAUAUGGAGACUCUUUUUAUCGGUGCAAGCAGCUGAAAAGAGCUGCACUGAGACGGAUAGCAAAUAUUAUGAAAAGGCUAACAUAUACUAUCAGUCUGAUAGUUCAGUUUACCUAGAAAGAGUUCACAUCUCUCGUUUUGGAGAAAAUAAAGAGAGUAGACAAUGUAAAUAUUUAGGAGAUGAGUACUGUUACUUAACAAGGAGUCAUAGAAGUCAUAGGCUAACAGACUCCACGUAGCUUUGCCUCUUCCUAGAGACUCAUAGGAACGAACUCCUUGCAUUACUGAAGCUGCUCUCAAAAACAAAUCUGAAAUGACAACUGAAAAUGGCUCUGAUGAAGACCUGGACGAUGAAAUGGCUAAACUUAAAAAGAAGACUGAACGUGAUAUCGAAUUGGAAAUGGGAGACGAUUAUAUUCUAGAUCUAAAGAAGCGUUACGAUAUCGAAGGAGAUCGAAGGUUCGAUAUCAUUCCAGAAAUAUGAGAAGUUUUUGCAAUUGCAGAUUUUGAUUUGCUGAUCUGGGAAAAAAUUGGCUGAAUUAGAAGCACAAGAAAGACAAUUGAUUGAAAAUGGAUAUUAUGACCCUAAUCUUGAAGAAGAAAAUUUUCAUAAUAAGGGCAAUACAUGAUCUAGAUAA